CGUGUAGGCGGCUUGGUAAGUCGGAUGUGAAAGCCCGGGGCUCAACUCCGGAGUUGCAUUCGAAACUGCCCAGCUAGAGUCUCGGAGAGGAGGGCGGAAUUCCCGGUGUAGAGGUGAAAUUCGUAGAUAUCGGGAGGAACACCAGUGGCGAAGGCGGCCCUCUGGACGAUGACUGACGCUGAGACGCGAAAGCGUGGGGAGCAAACA
rnacentral:rRNA from 1 species